AUAAAGAAUUGGUUCAGCCCCUUAGUGCCUUAAGAUUAAUAUUGUGCAUCCUGCAGACCGAGGCUUCCUAGUGAUAUGAGCUAGCGGGACAUGCAUCAGUGGGCAAGAAGGCCUUUGAACUAGUUAUAACCUGUUUGUGGGUUGACCCAUAAUUAAAGGGGAAGUAUCAUUCAGUGCCAGUGAUCAUCUUUUGGUCUAAACAUAUUAGUCCCGGACUUACAAAGUUCCAAGCCAAAAUGACUUUUCCAUACACUAGCAAAGAGGCAGAGAGGAAGUCCAAAAUG